rnacentral:rRNA from 1 species
AUUGAACGCUGGCGGCAGGCCUAACACAUGCAAGUCGAGCGGAUGAAGGGAGCUUGCUCCUGGAUUCAGCGGCGGACGGGUGAGUAAUGCCUAGGAAUCUGCCUGGUAGUGGGGGAUAACGUCCGGAAACGGGCGCUAAUACCGCAUACGUCCUGCGGGAGAAAGUGGGGGAUCUUCGGACCUCACGCUCUCAGAUGAGUCUAGGUCGGAUUAGCUAGUUGGUGGGGUAAAGGCCUACCAAGGCGGCGAUCCGUAACUGGUCUGCGAGGAUGAUCAGUCACACGGGAACUGAGACACGGUCCAGACUCCUACGGGAGGCAGCAGUGGGGAAUAUUGGACAAUGGGCGAAAGCCUGAUCCAGCCAUGCCGCGUGUGUGAAGAAGGUCUUCGGAUUGUAAAGCACGUUAAGUUGGGAGGAAGGGCAGUAAGUUAAUACCUUGCUGUUUUGACGUUACCAACAGAAUAAGCACCGGCUAACUUCGUG